AACCUCCGCAAUGUGAGAAAUCGCGACGGGGGGAUCCCAAGUGCCAUUCUUAACGGGAUGGCUUUUCAUUAGUGUAAAGAGCUUUUGGAAUAAGGGCUGGGCAAGACCGGUGCCAGCCGCCGCGGUAACACCGGCAGCUCUAGUGGUAGCAGUUUUUAUUGGGCCUAAAGCGUCCGUAGCCGGUUUAAUAAGUCUCUGGUGAAAUCCUGUAGCUUAACUGUGGGAAUUGCUGGAGAUACUAUUAGACUUGAGACCGGGAGAGGUUAGAGGUACUCCCAGGGUAGAGGUGAAAUUCUGUAAUCCUGGGAGGACCGCCUGUUGCGAAGGCGUCUAACUGGAACGGUUCUGACGGUGGGGGACGAAAGUUAGGGCGCGAACCGGAUUAGAUACCCGGUAGUCCUAACUGUAAACGAUGCGGACUUGGUGUUGGGGUGGCUUUGAGCUGCUCCAGUGCCGAAGGGAAGCUGUUAAGUCCGCCGGCCGGAAGGUACGGCCGUAAGACUGAAACUUAAAGAAGUU
rnacentral:rRNA from 1 species